GCCGGGUGCGGUAGCUCACGCCUGUAAUCCCAGCACUUUGGGAGGCCGAGGCGGGUGGAUCACCUGAGGUCAGGAGUUCGAGACCAGCCUGGCCAACAUGGUGAAACCCCGUCUCUA
rnacentral:SRP_RNA from 1 species